AUUGAACGCUGGCGGCAGGCCUAACACAUGCAAGUCGAGCGGAAACGACUUAACUGAACCUUCGGGGAACGUUAAGGGCGUCGAGCGGCGGACGGGUGAGUAAUGCCUGGGAAUAUGCCUCGAUGUGGGGGAUAACUAUUGGAAACGAUAGCUAAUACCGCAUAAUGCCUUCGGGCCAAAGAGGGGGACCUUAGGGCCUCUCGCGUCAAGAUUAGCCCAGGUGGGAUUAGCUAGUUGGUGAGGUAAAGGCUCACCAAGGCGACGAUCCCUAGCUGGUCUGAGAGGAUGAUCAGCCACACUGGAACUGAGACACGGUCCAGACUCCUACGGGAGGCAGCAGUGGGGAAUAUUGCACAAUGGGCGCAAGCCUGAUGCAGCCAUGCCGCGUGUGUGAAGAAGGCCUUCGGGUUGUUAAAGGGACUUUCAGUCGUGAGGAAGGUAGUGUAGUUAAUAGCUGC
rnacentral:rRNA from 1 species